AUCUUUUUCUUUUAUAAAAAAUCGAAGAUUAUACAGAUGAAGAAAUUGAGAAGCGAAAAUUUCAAACAGAAUUACAAGCUUCUUGAACAAACACUGAUUAUGUCGUCUCAUGAGAACACUGCUGAAAAUACAAAGUUUUUCUCGUUCAAUGAGUUGGAGAAAGCGACUGGCCAAUUCGACAGAGCAAGGAUUAUUGGCGAAGGUGGUCAUGGGACAGUUUACAAAGGUUUGUUAUUAGAUCAACGCGUAGCAGCUAUAAAGAUGUCCAAAGUUACGACACAGACAGAGAAAGAAGAAUAUAUAAAUGAAGCGGCUCUUCUGUCACGAACUUAUCACAAGAAUGUCGUCAAAGUAUUAGGGUGUUGUUUAGAGAGUGCAGUACCGACAUUGGUGUAUGAAUACAUCGCCAAUGGUACCCUUUCAGAGCAUCUCCAUAGUCCAGAUAAUCCUUCCUCCUUGGGUUGGGAUGAUCGCUUGAGGAUUGCCGUUGAAGUAGCAUCUGCUAUUGUAUAUCUUCUUUCUGCAAGUUCCAACACUAUUUUCCAUAGAGAUCUUAAAUCAGCAAACAUUCUUCUCGAUGAGAAACUAACUGCCAAACUAUCAGACUUUGGAGCUUCAAAAUCCAUCAGUUCAGAUCAAACUCAUAUCACAGCUACCGUUCAAGGAACAAUCGGAUAUCUUGAUCCAGAAUACUACCAAUCUGGGAAACUGACUGAGAAAAGUGACGUUUACAGCUUUGGCGUAAUUCUUGUAGAGCUUCUUACAGGAAAAAAACCGAUAUCAAAAUAUAUCAAUGCUGAGGAAGGAAGUGUAAUCAUCUACUUCAUCAAGCUACUUAGAGAAGGCCAAGUCGAUCUACUCUUUGACCAAUCUAUUAUGGAUGAUUCUAUAAAGGACGAUCUUGGUGUUGUCGCAAAACUAGCCGGAGAAUGCUUGAGGUUGAGAGGAGAAGACCGACCAACUAUGAAAGAAGUUGAAUCCACCCUUGAAGGCGUAAGAAGAUCGAAAAAUAAGAAAGCCAAAGGAAUAAACCAUGAAGAAGAGCAUCAGAGGUUGCUUUCUGAUCAAAUGAAAAUGGUUAGUGGUAAUGAAAAUUGGAGUACGUCUGUAACUUCAAAUACUUCUCAGCCCCCAAUUUCAACUUCAAAAUCCUUUCUCCGUUGAUAUUUAAAGUGAGAUAUAUAAGAAAAAUUCAGAUGUUUUUGUAUAGAUAGAUUAAAGUGAGAUCAAACAUCUCAAAUCAUUCAUUCUCAAUCAAUCCUUCAACUGAUGGAUAGAUAAGAACUGGACUGAUCAGAUGUUAUAUCAGAUCCUAUUUGUAUAUUUAUUAUUUGAAUCAUAGUGCAUAUAUUUCAUUUUAAUGCCAUAUUUUUCAAGUGAUUAUGUAUAUAGUUUGUAAUAAUUAAUAUAUAUAUUUUUGGAUAUGAUUAAAAUUAAAGUUUUAAAAUGUUAACAUUAAAACAAAUAAAUCAGGCAGAUCCUGUAGGAUCAUUACUUAGACCUGCUAUUGUUGCUCGCCAGCUUGUUACCGCGUGCAUCUCGGCAUGGGAGUUGUGCUUUUUCUUGUAUUUGUCCUGCUUUAAUCCGGUGUUUGAAAGUUGUAGAACUUGUGUAAUGACAACUUCCUUAGGGGUGAAUUUGUUCUUUUUUGCUCUUGCCAUAUUUGUCACCGCAAAAACAUCCAUUAUGCUAUUGAAACCAAACAUUAACGAAGUAUUGGCCGUCCAAAGCAAAUUCGAUUUAUCUUUUGACGCUUUAUUCAAAAUAUAAUAUUCCAAAUGAACAAAAUACUAUUCAAGUUUGAAUUUCUCCAAAAAUAAGAUUCUCCAACAAACUCUAUCCAAGAAAAUACUAUUCAAGAUAAGAUUAAAGACAAAGUUUGGAUUUAUGUGAGAAAUCAAGGAGCCAUACAUUGAAGAUCCAAGGGUGGACACUGAGUGACCAAGGCUAUAUAUAAAUAGAAGGGCAUACCUCUCAUUUUCACUCAUCACACAACAAGCAAAUCCAAGAGCUUUUCACUCCACAUUUGAGAUACACGUUUUUGCCUCCAAGCUUCCAAGCUUUCAAGUGUUCAAGUGUCCUAGCUUUCCAAAAGUUUUAAAAGUUCUCCAACUUCUUCUUCUAAUCUUCUUGUUUAUCUCUACAAGUAAAAAGUGUUGUUUGCUUUAAUAUUCCACACCUCUAAUCACCUCUUGUGUGUGUCCACUUUAGUUGAGAGGGUUGUCUCAAUAUCACCAAAGUGUGAGAGAAGGUUUUUGAGUUCAACCAUAAAGCUCUAGUUUGGUUUUAUAGAGUUUCUGGGAAAACUCUUAGGUCGAAUCUACCUUGAAAGAUUUUUAGGUUUUUAAGAGUUCCUUGAUACUCUAAGGUACUAACUUACCCGUAAAAGUUAGAGGUUUUUAAGAGUCUCUUUGAUACUCUAAGGUGUGAGUCUACCCGUAAAAGACUGGUUCCUAAGCGAAGUUAACCUUAAAUCGUAGAGAGGUUUUUAAGAGUUCCUUGAUACUCUAAGGUACUAACUUAUCCGUAAAAGUUAGAGGUUUUUAAGAGUUUCCUUGAUACUCUAAGGUGUGAGUCUACCCGUAAAAGAUUGGUUUCUAAGCGAAGUUAACCUUAAAGCUUAGAGAGGUUUUUAAGAAUUUUCUUGAUACUCUAAAGUUUUGCCAUAACCUUUAGGCCAGUGAAUUCCGACAGUUGGUCGGGACUGGAUUAGCCCUUGUUUGGGUUAACCAGUAUAAAUUCUCUUGUGUUGUUCUUUGUUAACUUUAAUUUUUAUCUUUCAUCUAAAAACAACUAAACAACACUUAAUUGAAAAGGAUCCAUCUUCCAGUUAUCUGGUCAAAUACAGAGGUUGACUACUUUACGCAGAUUCAUCAUCCAGUUAUCUGGUCAACUAUCUGAGGUUAUAUUCAUUGUUUUAAAUCUUUAUUCAGAUAUUUGUUCAAGCAUUUACUCAUCAAAUAUAUAUCCAGUUAUCUGGUCAUUUACUCUAUAUCUUGCUUAUCAAAUAUAUAUUCAGUUAUCUGGUCAUUUACUUUAUAAUAUAACUUGUGUUUAUAAUAUAACUUAGUAUUCAUAUACUAUAGUUGUUUAUAAAACACUAUCUGAAAAUUGACUCUGUAUUCAUAUACUGUAGUAAACUUCAAGAGAAAAAGACAAGUCCAAUAUAUAAUAUUAUAAAAUAUAAUAUUAUAUUCCUUAAAAUCAUAUAAUAGUAUUAUAUUGCUAACAAUAUUAUACUAUUAUUAUUAUACAAUCAUUUAUGUACUUAAAUGUGUGCAGGUAAUUCCGUUAUUAAUCUGCACAAAUCGAAAAGAGGCUAUUAUCCCCCCUUAUAGUCUCGGAUCACGAUCCAACAAGUGGUAUCAGAGCCAAGUACCGUUGAAGUUAGACUAACAUCUUACAACAACAACUAUGACACCAAAUGGUGAAUUCAACACUGGUCUUGCGUCAAACAAACCUCCCAGGUUCGACGGAGUAAAGUAUGACUUUUAGAAGAACAAGAUGAAGUUAUACUUAAAGUCAAUCAACAAUGGAGUAUGGAAGAUCAUAUUAGAAGAUUAUGAAAUUUCAACAUGCAAUGAAGAGACUUGGGGGAAAAAUGGACAUCCUCAAGGAAAAAAACAACUUAAGAGCAUUGAAUGCUCUAUACGAAGCACUCAAUGAAUCUGAGUACAGCAGAAUUCGGUGCUUGGAUACAGCUCACAAGGUAUGGAAAGCAUUGGAAGAUCUGCAUGAAGGAACCUCCCAUGUUAAAGAAAACAAGCUGUUACAUGCUACCUCUCAGUUUGAAAGAUUCUCUAUGAGGGAAGACGAGACUAUCGCAGAAAUGAACAUUAGACUAUCACAAAUAGUCAAUGAUCUGGCUAGACUAAGAGAUCCAGUAACUGAGAAGAAGCAAGUAAGCAAAAUUCUGAGGAGCCUUCCAAACAAGUACUACUCCAAAAGGAAUGCUAUCCAAAAGACUCAUGAUUUCAACAAACUUACAGUUGUGGAACUCUGUGGAAAUCUGAUGGCUUAUGAAGAAGAAAGAUUCAUCUCUAAAGCUAAAGAAGAAGAAAAAAGAUAUUGCUUUUAAAAGUCAGUCUGACAACGAAACAUCAGAAAAUGAUCUAGCAAUGAUCACCAAUCAUCUGAGAAGAUAUCUGAAAAAGAGGAAAGAGAAGAAAGACUCAAGGUCAAGUCAUCAGAAGUUCGACAAAAGAAUGAGCAAGGAGUCAAAAGAACCAAUCUGUUAUCUAUGCGACAAGUCUGUACACAUCAAACCGGAAUGUCCUCUGCUAAAGAAAGAAAAAGAAAAUCAGGCACAAUGGACAGACUCUGACUCGGAUUAAGACGAUUGCUUCAUGGCUCAUGAAAGUGACUCUGAGGUAAGUUUUGUAAAUACUAGAUUUAAUUCUUUAGAAGAAGCAUAUUAGAAUUAAUGGAAAAAUAUAAAAAUGAGAAAAAAUUAAAUAAAUCAUUAAAACUAGAAUGUAUGAAUAAAUCACAUAUAGAUCAAUUUAUUGAAUUAGAAGAAUCACAAAAAGAAUGCAUGCAAUUGAAAGAAAGAAAUCUAAAACUCACAAGUAAAUUAAGCAAAGAUGAAAAAAAAAUUAAGAUACUUAAGAGUCAAAACUUUGAAUUGCUUAAAAUUUUAGAAUUUGAAGAAAAUCAACCUAAGUAAAUAGAUGAUGAUAAGAUUGAAUUUCUAAAAUUAAAAAUAGAUAAUUUUGAAAAAGAUAUUAUGUUAAAAAAAAAAAUCAUGCUCAAAACAGAAAUAAAAUCUAAGAAUAAAAUCAUACUUGAGCAUGUAGAAACCAUAAAAAAUUAUCCGAAACAUAUAAUGAUAUGCAAUUACAAAUCAAAAGAAUAGAUCAAAAGAAUAAUGUUCUUGAAAAAUUCUUAAAUAGUUCGUCUAAGCUAAAUGACAUGUUGCAAGGUUCAAGCUCAGGUCAAAAGAAAUUUGGCUUAAGGUUUGAAUCAGAUACACCUAUUAAAAAACCUUCACAUGCUUUAACUUAUAAUGAUUAUUUUGUGAGAGAAUCUAGCUACAGAAAACCUAUUCAUCUUAAGAAAAAGAAAAAUCUAUCUAAGAUGAAUCAUCCAAAACAAAAAUGGAUGACCAAAGAUGAGUUAAAAAAUUAUAAGCAAAUCAACUAUGUUAAUUCAUCUGGACCCAACUCAGUAUGGGUACCAAAAGGGUGUGUCAAUAUCAGCUACCCAUUCGUCAUAGGGGAAAAUUCUGCCAGAAACACUUCCUUCCUCGUCAACUACAGCAAAGAUGCUAACGGCGAAAAGCCUUAUUUUCGCUCUUGGGAAAUCGUCAGCAUAGAGUUGGAGUCAGGUGAAAUCACAUUGAAUGCCCAAGUCUCUUCUACCUGUGGAGACAAGAUGAACAUAAUAGAUCUGACCGACAGACCACUCAGUUUCUCCGAGAAUAAUAAAUUAACCGCGACUGGUUGCGCAACAAAUGCUUUUCUACCGGACGGCGUAGGAUGCCUGUCGCUCUGUAGUAGUUUGGAGGAUGUAACAAACAAUACCUGCUAUGGAACUGGCUGCUGCGAAAUAUCCAUCAACAAAGGUCUCAAAAUCUUCAAUGGCAGUAUUAUAACUUAUGACAUUACAGCAGAAAAUACCAGCAAUUGCAGUUAUGCCUUCUUAGCAAAGGGGAAUACAUUUAAUUUCAGUACUGUUUUUCUUAUUGAAAGAGAGUGGGCUAUGCCGGUUGAAUAUAUGCUUGAUUUCGCAGUGGAUGAUUGCGGUCUGAACGCCAAUGCGAAUAAAUCAGCAACGGGAUUUGGGAAUAUCUGUUCUUGUCUUCAAGGGUUUGAGGGAAAUCCUUAUACUUCUGAUGGCUGCACAGGUAUAUAUAGAUAGUAUGUAUUUGCUUAAUUCCAAUUUUUUGCCACGGACCAUGGACCGUCUCAACGGUCCCUGGACCGAACCGCCUGUUCCCAGGCCCAAUCGCGCGAACGGACUGAGCCCAGGAAAGCCCAAGAAGCCUGAAGGCCUCUUGGGCUAACACUAUAAAUACCUCCUCUGAUCCAACAGGGGAAGGGGUUGACAGUUGGAAAAAUCACUUCCAAGGAGUUGUGUGUGUGAACAACCCCCUAACACGAGCUCAUACACCAUCACAAUUUAAUUGACAUACUUAUUAAUCAUGCAAUCAUUCCAUGCAGAUAUAAAUGAAUGCGAAGAUCCGACAUUGAAUAUACGUUCGAAAGAUUGCGUCAACACUCCGGGGAGCUUCAGGUGCACAGAUAACUCCAGAAAUUUAAUAAGUAAAAACACAUGCAUUUAUAUAUUGAAUCUAAUUUAAAUUAAUCCCCAAUAUAUUUACUAAUCAUCUUUGGUUGGUUGUUUGCAGUUAUAGUUUCUUGUCUAAGUGGAGGGAUAUUUUUUGUGUUGUUGGGAGGGAUGAUCUUUUUCUUUUAUAAAAAAUCGACGAUUAUACAAAUGAAGAAAUUUAGAAGCGAAAAUAUCAAACAGAAUUACAAGCUUCUUGAACAAACACUAAUUAUGUCAUCUCAUGAGAACACUGCGGAAAAUACAAAGUUUUUCUUGUUCAAUGAGUUGGAGAAAGCGACUGGUCAAUUCGACAGAGCAAGGAUUAUUGGCGAAGGUGGUCAUGGGACAGUUUACAAAGGUUUGUUAUUAGAUCAACGCGUAGCAGCUAUAAAGAUGUCCAAAGUUACGACACAGACAGAGAAAGAAGAAUAUAUAAAUGAAGCGGCUCUUCUGUCACGAACUUAUCACAAGAAUGUCGUCAAAGUAUUAGGGUGUUGUUUAGAGAGUGCAGUGCCGACAUUGGUGUAUGAAUACAUCGCCAAUGGUACCCUUUCAGAGCAUCUCCAUAGUCCGGAUAAUCCUUCCUCCUUGGGUUGGGAUGAUCGCUUGAG
rnacentral:lncRNA from 1 species